ensembl:lncRNA
AUGCAACACCUACCUGCAGGUGUGUAUAAAAGGCAAAGGCGUGAAUCAUCUGUUUCAAAUCGUCCCUUUCACUGCGCCAAGUGCUGUAGCUCCGGCUUGUUACACAAUAACUUCAGUCCGUGGCUCCAUCAGUUUCCGGCUUUGAAGAUGAAGAACUUUCCUGUCGUGCUUAUUCUCGGACUUCUUGCUGUUGCCCAGACAACACCUGUUACUCCCGUGACCCAGAUUCCCACCAAAGCUGAGGACGAAGUGCUCCGAGAGGCGGUGACGGACGGGUUCCUCAUCGAUCACUUCUUCCCCCGUUCCCUCACAACUGACUCGCCCAAGAGGAACGCGACCGCCCUUCCGUCCCAGCAGCCGUCCUCUGACCCGAAAGAGGAUGCUACAGACGCGCCCGGCGAGGAGACCACGACCCCCGUGUUCGUCCUGCAUGGAGGUGACCACCAUGCAACCACAACCCACAACGUGGUGUCGUCCACGGAGCCCACAUUCCCCAGUUCAGAUUCAUCUCCCACCGAAAGACCUCAGUCUAGCUUUACAUCUUCAUCGGUGCCGAAUGACGCCCAGUCAAACGCCGCCACCACGGACCACAUCCCGGUCUCCCAAACCACCGACGCCGCUGUCUCCAGCUUUGACUUCCUGGGCACUCUGAGUUCAGAUUCUGGGUCUGGACACGAAGAGGAGCCAAGCGAGGAAACGACUGCGAGCUCCAGUGCGGCCUCCGUCUCCAACACAGACACUAGCGCUGCACCAUCAACCGACACCACUGCUCUACAGUCACGACUGUUCGUAGAGGUUGAAGGAUCAGGAUCAGGAUCAGGAACCAUUGCAGACACUAGCACUGCGCCAUCAACCCCCACGACUGCUCUCAUCCAAUCAGGACAGUUUGGAGAUGAUAAAGGAUCAGGAUCAGGAUCAGAAUCACGACUGAUGGCAGAAACUAGCACUACACCAUCAACCUCCACGACCAUUCUUAUGCCGCCCAAAGCUCCACGAGUGCUCACAAAGAGUGCUCCAUCAGAAUCGCCUGAGGUGGAUUCACCGGUUGAAGAGACAAUAAUUCAGAACAGGUCUUUCGAGAACCAGUCCACAGAAGGAGAUCACGAACCGCAAAAAGUGGAAGAAGCUGUCAACGCUCCAUCACCCCGGGGCAAAGAGAAGAGCACACCAGGUUGGAUCAUCAUCCUUGCUUUCAUUGUUGGCGUUGCAGCACUGGUAAUGCUCUUGGCCGCCAUCGCUACCAGAGACAAGUGGAAUAGACCAACUCAACGGGUGACCCAGCCAGAGACCAAGGCCGGCUCCUCAGACCAGCAGAGGGAGGUAGAGAUGGAGACAUUCCUGCACAAGGACGAGCCCGCGGAGAACGGCAAGUCGGCGGAGUACACAGUCAUCCCCCUGGACGAGCUUCCAGAAGAUUAUUCGUCACACUGACGUUCACAAAGAGAGAGAGAGAGAGAGAGAGAGAGAGAGAGAGAGAGAGAGAGAAAGACCCUAAGGAGGCUUGAGACUCAUCACAGAACCACAUGACUGAGGAUCAGAGGAACGCGUCCCCUCGGAGCCGUUGAGCAGAGAGGCCUCCGGUGGACCGACUGGAGAUCUGCAUUUUGUUCCCCCCGCCCGCUGACUUUCAACAACUCGUACCACGCCCUCGCUCUGAAGCUGCAGCGACACUUUUGGUUGAUUUAUUUAUUUUCCAUAUCAACUAUGUCAUCAACUGUAAAAAAAAAAAAGGAAAAAAGGAAAAAAAGAGAUUGCUUGGGUGAGAUUGGACAAAUGCCAUUUAUUUCAAAUACACUUUAAAAAAGAUUGUUUCAUUUCCCGGUUCAUCGUUGUAAAUAAUGAAUUAAUACGCUGUUGUUGUUGCUGUUGUUGUU